GGAUUCCCCUAGUAACUGCGAGUGAAGCGGGAAGAGCUCAAAUUUAAAAUCUGGCGUCUUCGGCGUCCGAGUUGUAAUUUAGAGAAGUGUUUUCCGCGCUGGACCGUGUACAAGUCUCCUGGAACGGAGCGUCAUAGAGGGUGAGAAUCCCGUCUUUGACACGGACCCCCAGUGCUCUGUGAUACGCUCUCGAAGAGUCGAGUUGUUUGGGAAUGCAGCUCAAAAUGGGUGGUGAACUCCAUCUAAAGCUAAAUAUUGGCGAGAGACCGAUAGCGAACAAGUACCGUGAGGGAAAGAUGAAAAGCACUUUGGAAAGAGAGUGAAACAGUACGUGAAAUUGUUGAAAGGGAAACGCUUGAAGUCAGUCGCGUUUGCCGGGAUUCAGCCGCAAGGUGUACUUCUCGGCAGACGGGCCAGCAUCACUUUCGAUCAUCGGAAAAGGGCGAGAGGAAUGUGGCACCUCCGGGUGUGUUAUAGCCUCUCGUCGUAUACGGUGACCGGGAGUGAGGACCGCCUUUGUAGGAUGCUGGCGUAAUGGCUUUAAACGACCCGUCUUGAAACACGGACCAAGGAGUCUAACAUGCCCGCGAGUGUUCGGGUGGAAAACCCGUGCGCGUAAUGAAAGUGAAAG
rnacentral:rRNA from 1 species